rnacentral:rRNA from 1 species
GACCGAGCAACGCCGCGUGAGUGAAGAAGGUUUUCGGAUCGUAAAGCUCUGUUGUAAGUCAAGAACGAGUGUGAGAGUGGAAAGUUCACACUGUGACGGUAGCUUACCAGAAAGGGACGGCUAACUACGUGCCAGCAGCCGCGGUAAUACGUAGGUCCCGAGCGUUGUCCGGAUUUAUUGGGCGUAAAGCGAGCGCAGGCGGUUUGAUAAGUCUGAAGUUAAAGGCUGUGGCUCAACCAUAGUUCGCUUUGGAAACUGUCAAACUUGAGUGCAGAAGGGGAGAGUGGAAUUCCAUGUGUAGCGGUGAAAUGCGUAGAUAUAUGGAGGAACACCGGUGGCGAAAGCGGCUCUCUGGUCUGUAACUGACGCUGAGGCUCGAAAGCGUGGGGAGCGAACAGGAUUAGAUACCCUGGUAGUCCACGCCGUAAACGAUGAGUGCUAGGUGUUGGAUCCUUUCCGGGAUUCAGUGCCGCAGCUAACGCAUUAAGCACUCCGCCUGGGGAGUACGACCGCAAGGUUGAAACUCAAAGGAAUUGACGGGGGCCCGCACAAGCGGUGGAGCAUGUGGUUUAAUUCGAAGCAACGCGAAGAACCUUACCAGGUCUUGACAUCCCGAUGCUAUUUCUAGAGAUAGAAAGUUACUUCGGUACAUCGGUGACAGGUGGUGCAUGGUUGUCGUCAGCUCGUGUCGUGAGAUGUUGGGUUAAGUCCCGCAACGAGCGCAACCCCUAUUGUUAGUUGCCAUCAUUCAGUUGGGCACUCUAGCGAGACUGCCGGUAAUAAACCGGAGGAAGGUGGGGAUGACGUCAAAUCAUCAUGCCCCUUAUGACCUGGGCUACACACGUGCUACAAUGGUUGGUACAACGAGUUGCGAGUCGGUGACGGCAAGCUAAUCUCUUAAAGCCAAUCUCAGUUCGGAUUGUAGGCUGCAACUCGCCUACAUGAAGUCGGAAUCGCUAGUAAUCGCGGAUCAGCACGCCGCGGUGAAUACGUUCCCGGGCCUUGUACACACCGCCCGUCACACCACGAGAGUUUGUAACACCCGAAGUCGGUGAGGUAACCUUUUGGAGCCAGCCGCCUAAGGUGGGAUAGAUGAUUGGGGUGAAGUCGUAACAAGGUAGCCGUAUCGGAAGGUGCGGCUG